GACGAACCGUGCGAACGUUAUUCGGAAUCACUGGGCUUAAAGCGUGUGUAGGCGGAUCGUUAAGUGUCUUGUGAAAUCCCACGGCUCACCCGUGGAACUGCUGGGCAUACUGGCGAUCUUGGGCCAACUAGGGGCAACUGGAACAAGCGGUGGAGCGGUGAAAUGCGUAGAUAUCGCUUGGAACGCCAAAGGUGAAAACAGAUUGCUGGGGUUGUGCCGACGCUGAGACACGAAAGCCAGGGGAGCAAACGGG
rnacentral:rRNA from 1 species